GAGCGAACGCUGGCGGCGUGCCUAACACAUGCAAGUCGAACGCUGAGUUUAUCGUAGCAAUACGAUGAACAAGGCGUGGCGCACGGGUGCGUAACGCGUGGACAACCUGCCUGCGAGUGGGGAAUAACCCCGGGAAACUGGGGCUAAUACCGCAUACUUUUUCCUGGACGACGGUCCGGGAACAGAAAGCCGCGAGGCGCUCACAGAGGGGUCCGCGUCCGAUCAGCUAGUUGGUGAGGUCACGGCUCACCAAGGCUAAGACCGGUAGCUGGUCUGAGAGGACGACCAGCCACACUGGGACGGAGACACGGCCCAGACUCCUACGGGAGGCAGCAGUGGGGAAUAUUGCGCAAUGGACGAAAGUCUGACGCAGCGACGCCGCGUGGAGGACGAAGCCCUUCGGGGUGUAAACUCCUUUCGACGGGGACGAAACUCUCGCAAGAGACUGACGGUACCCGUAGAAGAAGCCCCGGCUAACUACGUGCCAGCAGCCGCGGUAAUACGUAGGGGGCGGGCGUUGCUCGGAAUUACUGGGCGUAAAGGGUCCGUAGGCGGUUGAAUAAGUCGACGGUGAAAUCUCCCGGCUUAACCGGGAGGGGUCCGCCGAAACUGUUUGACUCGAGGGCCGGAGGGCGAGUGGAAUUACCGGUGUAGCGGUGAAAUGCGUAGAUCUCGGGUAGGAACACCGGAGGCGAAAGCGGCUCGCUGGACGGCACCUGACGCUGAGGGACGAAAGCUGGGGGAGCAAACAGAUUAGAUACCCUGGUAGUCCCAGCCCUAAACGAUGGUCACUAGACGUGCCGCGUGUUCGCGCGGCGUGUCGCAGCUAACGCGCUAAGUGACCCGCUGGGGAGUACGGUCGCAAGGCUGAAACUCAAAGGAAUUGACGGGGGCCCGCACAAGCGGUGGAGCAUGUGGUUCAUUUCGACGCAACGCGAAGAACCUUACCCGGGCUUGAAGUGCACCGGACCAUCCCGCGAAAGCGGGACUUCCCGCAAGGGACCGGUGUAGAGGUGCUGCAUGGCUGUCGUCAGCUCGUGUCGUGAGAUGUUGGGUUAAGUCCCGCAACGAGCGCAACCCUUGUCCCUAGUUGCUACCGGUUCGGCCGAGCUCUCUAAGGAGACUGCCCGUGACAAACGGGAGGAAGGCGGGGAUGACGUCAAGUCAGCAUGGCCUUUAUGUCCGGGGCUACACACGUGCUACAAUGCGCGUUACAGAGGGUCUGCCAACCCGCAAGGGGGAGCUAAUCCCACAAAAACGCGCUCAGUUCGGAUUGGGGUCUGCAACCCGACCCCAUGAAGCUGGAAUCGCUAGUAAUGGCGCAUCAGCACGGCGCCGUGAAUACGUUCCCGGGCCUUGUACACACCGCCCGUCACAUCACGAAAGGGGGCUGUACUAGAAGUUCCCGGUCCAACCCUUCGGGGACAUCGGGACCGACGGUAUGGUUCCUGAUUGGGGU
rnacentral:rRNA from 1 species